CCCUUAGAUGUUCUGGGCUGCACGCGUGCUACAAUGGCGCUUGCAACAAGUCUUGCCAACCCGAUAGGGUGAGCGGAUCUUUGAAGAGGCGUCGUGAUCGGGACAGUUGAUUGCAAUUAUUCGACUCGAACGAGGAAUUCCUUGUAAUCGCGAUUCAUCAUAUCGCGCUGAAUACGUCCCUGCCCUUUGUACACACCGCCCGUCGCUCCUACCGAUUGAGCGAUCCGGUGAAUGUUUCGGACUGGCGUCAGAAGCGGUUCGCUCCUGACACUACGAAAUUUUGUAAACCUUAUCGCUUAGAGGAAGGAAAAGUCGUAACA
rnacentral:rRNA from 1 species